AAAUGUACACUCAGGAGAGAAGGCGGACCCUCCAGGAGAGGACAAUGCCUUCUCAACAGGAACCUCCAGUUAGGCAGCAAGUCCCCAAGAUGAUGCCCAGAGAACCCAGUCUCCCUGCCAGAAGCAUGUCUCUGCGAAAAGCUAUGUCUCUCCAGAACUUGAGCCAGAUAGAGACACCCUGGGAAGGGGUCACCCUCAACCGCUGUCUGUUCAUAGCCAUCACCAUCCUGCUGGUCAGCACUGUCUUUCAGAAACUACACGAAACCAUAAAAGGUGGACGGGGUGUGGAGGAAGAGGAGUAUGACAUUGCACUGACUGUGAGGCGCUCCGCGCUGAGACACAAAGUCCAACCACAGGAGCCUGAGACGUCUCUGUAUGAGGUGCUCUUCUGGUGGUUACCUGACAUUGAUGACGAUAAUGAAGAAGAAGCUGAUGAAGGGGAAACCAAACAAGGUCGAGUGAAGAAAAGGGUUCGAGAGAGGUCGCUGAAGGGCCUGAGAGGCAAUGGAACACCAGAGAGAAAACUUGUAAAAGGCAGAGAGGGGAAGACAAAAGACAAGAGGGCCAAGAGAGAGAGGGAUGAAGAAACUAAGGGAAAGAAAAAGGGAAAACAGGCCAAGCUGAGAGAUGUGGAAAACAUGGAUGAGGAAGAGGAAAUAAAUGAAGGGGAAGAUGAGGUAAAACCCAAGAAGCUACAAAAGGUUAUGAAGUCAAAAGCCAGCAAAUCUUAAGGCAAACACCACGCUGAUGAAACAUUUAGUAAAGGAGUACAACGAUAGAUCUAGUUCUCCAUUUGUAAUUGUAUAAUGAGGCCACAUCACUUACAACUAAUACAUGCUGUUGGCUCAUUGGCAGCCAUUACAAGUGCCAGUCAGAAGAGCAAACCAGUUCUUAGUCUGCCAUGUACUUCUUGCUUAGAAUAUUGAAUGAUUUGUGGUUUGUAUUGUAAAGAUGAGACUUAAUUGAUGAAUUGUAAGGGUGCUAUUGUAAAAUAACUGCUCAACUGGGGCCUCUUUAUAGCAAUGCUGGAUGUUUCAGACUGCCUGGGCAAUUGGUGUAGUUUUUUUUGAUAACACUGUAAAUACUGUACUUGGAGAAAAAAAAAAAAAAACUUUUGUAACAUCUAAUUUCUGCUACCUUAACUCCAUCACAAAGCAUUGGACACAUCAAUAAAGCUUUCCCUGUGUACUCUUUGAGAAACAAUGAAGUAUUGUAUUAUUCCACAAGCAUAUAUUGUCUUUGUAGCUAAACACAUUUUCUUUCCAGCCAAGCACAGAGUACUAUCACAAGACACAACUCACUUUUCCACAUUCUUUAUUAUAAAAAAAAGUAUAUUUAAAGAUGAAUUGUGGAUUGUCAAAGAUGUUGUUUAAUUCAGAGGGCUCAAAAUCUACAAUACAGAGGAAUCUAUUCAUACUGGUGCUAUUACAGAGCUCACAAAACAAUGACCACCUUACA
rnacentral:lncRNA from 13 species